UACGUAGGGUCCGAGCGUUGUCCGGAAUUACUGGGCGUAAAGAGCUCGUAGGUGGUUUGUCGCGUUGUUCGUGAAAACUCACAGCUUAACUGUGGGCGUGCGGGCGAUACGGGCAGACUGGAGUACUGCAGGGGGAGACUGGAAUUCCUGGUGUAGCGGUGGAAUGCGCAGAUAAUCAGGAGGAACACCGGUGGCGAAGGCGGGGUCUCUGGGCAGUAACUGACGCUGGAGGAGCGAAAAGCGUGGGGAGCGAACAGG
rnacentral:rRNA from 1 species